rnacentral:rRNA from 1 species
AACGAACGCUGGCGGCAGGCCUAACACAUGCAAGUCGAGCGAGAAGCCACCUUCGGGUGGUGGAAAGCGGCAGACGGGUGAGUAACACGUGGGAACGUACCCUUUGGUUCGGAAUAGCUCCGGGAAACUGGAAUUAAAACCGGAUAAGCCCUUCGGGGGAAAGAUUUAUCGCCAAAGGAUCGGCCCGCGCCUGAUUAGCUUGUUGGCGGGGUAAUGGCCCACCAAGGCGACGAUCAGUCGCUGGUCUGAGAGGACGACCAGCCACACUGGGACUGAGACACGGCCCAGACUCCUACGGGUGGCAG